rnacentral:rRNA from 1 species
AGAGUUUGAUUAGGGCUCAGAUUGAACGCUGGCGGCAGGCUUAACACAUGCAAGUCGAGCGGCAGCGGAAAGAAGCUUGCUUCUUUGCCGGCGAGCGGCGGACGGGUGAGUAAUGUCUGGGGAUCUGCCCGAUGGAGGGGGAUAACUACUGGAAACGGUAGCUAAUACCGCAUAAUGUCGCAAGACCAAAGUGGGGGACCUUCGGGCCUCACACCAUCGGAUGAACCCAGAUGGGAUUAGCUAGUAGGUGGGGUAAUGGCUCACCUAGGCGACGAUCCCUAGCUGGUCUGAGAGGAUGACCAGCCACACUGGAACUGAGACACGGUCCAGACUCCUACGGGAGGCAGCAGUGGGGAAUAUUGCACAAUAGGGGAAACCCUGAUGCAGCCAUGCCGCGUGUGUGAAGAAGGCCUUCGGGUUGUAAAGCACUUUCAGCGGGGAGGAAGGCAAUGGCGUUAAUAGUGUCAUUGAUUGACGUUACCCGCAGAAGAAGCACCGGCUAACUCCGUGCCAGCAGCCGCGGUAAUACGGAGGGUGCGAGCGUUAAUCGGAAUUACUGGGCGUAAAGCGUACGCAGGCGGUCUGUUAAGUCAGAUGUGAAAUCCCCGGGCUUAACCUGGGAACUGCAUUUGAAACUGGCAGGCUAGAGUCUCGUAGAGGGGGGUAGAAUUCCAGGUGUAGCGGUGAAAUGCGUAGAGAUCUGGAGGAAUACCGGUGGCGAAGGCGGCCCCCUGGACGAAGACUGACGCUCAGGUACGAAAGCGUGGGGAGCAAACAGGAUUAGAUACCCUGGUAGUCCACGCUGUAAACGAUGUCGAUUUGAAGGUUGUGGUCUUGAGCCGUGGCUUUCGGAGCUAACGCGUUAAAUCGACCGCCUGGGGAGUACGGCCGCAAGGUUAAAACUCAAAUGAAUUGACGGGGGCCCGCACAAGCGGUGGAGCAUGUGGA